UAACGCGUGAGGAACCUGCCUUCCAGAGGGGGACGAACAGUUGGAAACGACUGCUAAUACCGCAUGAUACGUUGGAGCCGCAUGACUCCGACGUCAAAGAUUUAUCGCUGGAAGAUGGCCUCGCGUCUGAUUAGCUAGUUGGUGAGGUAACGGCCCACCAGGCGACGAUCAGUAGCCGGACUGAGAGGUUGGCCGGCCACAUUGGGACUGAGAUACGGCCCAGACUCCUACGGGAGGCAGCAG
rnacentral:rRNA from 1 species